UUUGGAAAAGCUUUACAGGCACAGAGCACCAUCGCAUUGGUAAACACAGUUUUGACAUGCUUAGGCCUCCUGGCAUUGCAUGGUUACUUUCAGGCCCGAGUAGGAUGGUGACGAGCUUGAUCUCCGGUGGAGUAGCAGGAAUCGCUGCCUCAACAGCGGUGUUUCCGAUCGACUUAACUCGGAGGGCGACCGGAGAUGGACACCGGCUUACAAGCCUGGGAUUGCGAGCGCGCUGAGGCACAUUGUUCGCACCCAAGGCUACGCUGGGUUGUACAGGGCGAUUUUUCCUGAGUACCUCAGCAUCGAGCAUUCGGAGGCCGAGCAUUUCCAUCCCCGAUUCAUUCCAACCGUCAGAUAUUCUUGAAUCGACGGCCUUGAUUGAAUUUC